UCAGAGCCUCCAUCGAAACCCCGUCCACCAACUUGUUUACCCAGAUGUUAAUUUUCUAACGAGUAUUUUUCGUUUUUACUAUUUCUACCGUAUUUCUUUGUUUGGUGUGGGAGUUAGUAGUCACCCAAAGCGUAUCUGUGUUACGUGUAGGUGCUUAUUUUGUGAAAGAAUGUUGGACUUAUAUCUCUUUAUUUUUUUUGUUGUAAUGUUUUUUUUUUCUUCUUAUUGUAAUGUUUUGUGGUCCCGGCCCGGCCGUUUUGAGUAUGAUAUAUAAACCCAGUUGACCAAUUCGUUCCCUCAGUACUACUGAAGAUUCCGCCUCUCUCUUGUGUAAUCUCUCUUUGAUGCUUCACUUGUGUGGCUCAACUCAAUUGUUAACCCGCGAGGCUCACGGCUGUGGAGAAGCUAUCGGCUUGGAUUUUCCCGUUGACGUGCUGGAACAGGUCCAGUGCUGAUUCCGGAAACUCACCAGAUUCGGCAGCAACUCAGUCUGACUCGGACACCUGUUGCACGGCAAAAUCAGGAACGGGGUCAGGUGUGGAGAGAUCGUCAGGUAUACGGUAUAGCCGUAUACACUCGAAAAUACCUGCUUAUAAUUAAUUACAGUAGUUUUUUACUUUUACUUUUUUUUUACCACGCUUUCCGUCCGUCUUUCAUUCACUGUUCUAUCAUAAAGGUAAAAUCAAUUCGUUGGAAGAUUAGUAAAUUAUGAUGUUUUUCAUGAAUUUUUAUUUAUUCGUGAAACUCUGAAGUUGUUCAGCCAUUAAACUAGGAUUAUAAGAUUACUUGAUCAACCGAUUAUGAUAUGUUGUUGUUA